AACGUAGGACACGAGCGUUAUCCGGAGUUACUGGGCGUAAAGGGCGAGUAGGUGGUGCGAUAAGACUGGUGUGAAAGCCUUCGGCUUAACCGAGGGAGGACACUGGUGACUGUCGGACUUGAGGCAGAUAGAGGGGUGUAGAAUUCCGGGUGUAGUGGUGAAAUGCGUUGAGAUCCGGAGGAAUACCAGAGGCGAAGGCGGCACCCUGGGUCUGACCUGACACUGAUCCGCGACAGCAUGGGGAGCGAACGGG
rnacentral:rRNA from 1 species